rnacentral:rRNA from 1 species
CCUACGGGUGGCAGCAGUAGGGAAUCUUUCACAAUGGGCGAAAGCCUGAUGGAGCAACGCCGCGUGCAGGAUGAAGGCCUUCGGGUUGUAAACUGCUUUUAUAAGCGAGAAAUAUGAUGGUAACUUAUGAAUAAGGAUCGGCUAACUACGUGCCAGCAGCCGCGGUCAUACGUAGGAUCCGAGCAUUAUCCGGAGUGACUGGGUGUAAAGAGUUGCGUAGGUGGCAUAAUAAGUAGCUAGUGAAAUCUGGUGGCUCAACCAUUCAGACUAUUAGCUAAACUGUUAAGCUAGCGUGCAGGAGAGGUUAGUGGAAUUCCAUGUGUAGCGGUAAAAUGCGUAGAUAUAUGGAGGAACACCAGUGGCGAAGGCGGCUAACUGGCCUGUAACGGACGCUGAGGCACGAAAGCGUGGGGAGCAAAUAGGAUUAGAUACCCUUGUAGUC